UAAGAUAACCUUUGGCAUCUACAUAACAAUGUACAAAAAUGCCAACAACUUGAUCUGGCAUUCAACCGUUGCAAAUGAUUUAAAUUAAAUGUAAUCAAUUUACUGGAACUUAAUCUGUACUACUCCGCACUUUAGUCUGUACCUACUAAUAUUACGUGAUUUCAGAAGAGAAUCCAGAUGAACAUAUUAAUUAAUGGGGAAAAUUAGUAUCGUGAUAACAUUAAAGUCGAGGACAUUGGAAAUUAAUUGCUGAAGUUUAACAUUACUAACUUGGAUACAUCCCUUCGAAUUUUCUUUGAUGGCUCUGGUUUUGGCCUCGACUGUUCAUGCUCACUGUGAUCGUUUCUGCGGUGCUACGUUAACGCCGAACCUCGGUAUUCCGGUAGAUGACGAUAUUAAUCUGGCGAACAUAUCGUAUUAGUCGUGAUUCGUCGAUGGACGAACCGAUCGGAAAA